GGGGGUAUAGCUCAGGGGCAGAGCAUUUGACUGCAGAUCAAGAGGUCCCCGG
rfam:Haliaeetus albicilla contig46280, whole genome shotgun sequence.